GUUUCUGGUUGCGGGACAUCACCGUGUUGUUGUGUUUUGUCGAGUGAAAACUGCGGUUCUGGUCCUGCUGGGCUCCAAGUCUGAGCUUCUGCUGCAGCCACAGCAUCUUCUCCAUCCGCAUCCUGAGAGUGGAGGACGGCGAGCCGCCACCAGUCCACGCCGUCAGCGCGUUGUGUCUGUGCGACCUGGCAGGCUCUGAGCGCAGCUCCAGGACCCAGAACAAAGGAGAGGACCUGAAGGAGGCUGGAAACAUCAACGCCUCGCUGCUCAUUCUGGGCAAAUGCAUCAAGGCUCUGCAGCACAACCAGCACACCAGGCUCCUGCAGCACGUCCCAUUAAGGGAGAGCAAGCUGACCCACUACCUGCAGGGCUUCUUCUGCAGCAGCAGCAAGGCCUGCAUGGUGGUCAACGUCAGCCAGUGUGCCUCCAU